rnacentral:rRNA from 1 species
GUGGGGAAUCUUGCGCAAUGGGCGAAAGCCUGACGCAGCCAUGCCGCGUGAAUGAUGAAGGUCUUAGGAUUGUAAAAUUCUUUCACCGGGGACGAUAAUGACGGUACCCGGAGAAGAAGCCCCGGCUAACUUCGUGCCAGCAGCCGCGGUAAUACGAAGGGGGCUAGCGUUGCUCGGAAUUACUGGGCGGAAAGGGCGCGUAGGCGGACAGUUUAGUCAGAGGUGAAAGCCCAGGGCUCAACCUUGGAAUUGCCUUUGAUACUGGCUGUCUUGAGUACGGGAGAGGUGAGUGGAACUCCGAGUGUAGAGGUGAAAUUCGUAGAUAUUCGGAAGAACACCAGUGGCGAAGGCGACUCACUGGCCCGUUACUGACGCUGAUGCGCGAAAGCGUGGGGAGCAAACAGGAUUAGAAACCCUUGUAGUCC